rnacentral:tRNA from 1 species
GGAAGAUUGGCAGAGUGGCAAUGCAGCUGGUUGCUAACCAGUAGGGCCGAAAGGUUCAGUGGGUUCGAUGCCCACAUCUUCCUCA